rnacentral:rRNA from 1 species
AUGUGCAUACCGAAGAGCAGAGGAGGUAUGGGUUUUCGAGACAUUCACUGCUUCAAUCUAGCUCUAUUGGUAAAACAAGCAUGGAGGCUUAUUGAUGAUCCUGAGUCACUAUGUGCAAAGAUUCCCAAAGCAAAGUAUUACCCAAAUGAUGAUCUUUUGAAUAUGGGGUUGAGGAAGAAGGCCUCCUACACAUGGCAAAGUAUAAUCGCAGGAGUGGACACCUUGAAGCACUGCCUGAUCUGGAGAGUGGGCGAUGGACAAAAAAUUAAAAUUUGGGAAGAUUGCUGGAUCCCACAAUCACCAUCUAAAAAAGUUAUCUCUCCUAGAGGUAACCACUUGUUAUCCCGUGUAUCUGAGCUAAUAGAUCCUGCAUUGGGGGAGUGGGAUAGGUAGCUUGUGUACCAAACUUUUUGUCAUGUUGAUGCCCAGAGAAUACUUGCUAUCCCAGUGCCUAUAUAUGAAAUGCCAGACUUCUUGGCAUGGAGCUUGACAAAGACAGGGGGUUUCUCGGUAAGAUCU